rnacentral:rRNA from 1 species
AUGCCCUACGACGGGAGUGCGACGACCUCGUUCCCAUCAGCGCCGCCGCCAUCCCAGGGCGUCCACAUCCAGCAGAUCAAGUCCCCACCGUCGCCGUCACCGCUUCCGUCUUGGAUCGCUACCCGCCACGUGUCGGCGGCGGCGAGGCUGCAGGCUGCUGCGCGCGGCCUCCUAGCGCGUCGGCGUGUGCGGGAGAUGCGUGGUCCGCAGCUGCCGCUCCUCCAAGUUGCCCUUCGCUGGGCAAAGAACCUCGAUCUCGUCCGCUGCGUCGGGGAUCUUGGGCAUGCGGUUUCCCCCACGGGCGGCGGGCAUGCUGUUUUCCACGUGGGCAGCGACCUCAAAGUCUGCAACAUCAGCGGUUGGGGUGGCCCACCCCUCCUCGACAUUCUCCAUCGCAAGCCCUCCGCUCUUCCCUGUGCAGUGCAGACCAACAGCCAUACACAUGCACUUCUUUUGUCCAGGUGGUGUCCAUGGGAUCCAGGUGGCUGUACACGUGCACGUCCAAAAUAA